rnacentral:rRNA from 1 species
CACGUAGGGGGCAAGCGUUGUCCGGAUUUAUUGGGCGUAAAGAGCUCGUAGGUGGUUCAGUAAGUCGGGUGUUAAACCCCCAGGCUCAACCUGGGGACGCCACUCGAUACUGCUGUGACUAGAGUCCGGUAGGGGAGCGUGGAAUUCCUGGUGUAGCGGUGAAAUGCGCAGAUAUCAGGAGGAACACCAGCGGCGAAGGCGGCGCUCUGGGCCGGUACUGACACUGAGGAGCGAAAGCGUGGGUAGCAAACAGG